rnacentral:lncRNA from 1 species
UCACAAUUCAAUGGUCGGCUAGGUAAAAGACAAGUGGGAACGUCUCCAGCUAUAGGGCUCAGGUGGCUGCGGUGAGGAUGCUCGGCUAGACCUGUGGAGGAGUGUGGAGAGUGGGAGUCUGUGGGAAGGCUCCCCAGCCACAGGCCAAGGCCAAAUGAGCAGCACAAGUCAAGGUGGCCGGGAAAGCCACUGGCCUUUCUCUGACAGAUGUUCCUGUGACCAACAGCUCUUUCCUCUACAUGGUACUGUAAUGGCGGUGUUUGUAUGUUGACAUCCUUGACUACAUUGUGAUCUCCUUGAAGGGGACCAUUAUCAUUGGAUUUAGGGCCCACCCAGAUAAUCUGUGAUGACCUCUUCAUCUCAAGAUCCUUAACUUAAUUCUAUCUCCAAAGGCCUUCUAUACUUAUGGCUUACACGGUUGGUGAUGGCAGGAACAGAUGAG